rnacentral:rRNA from 1 species
CAGGCUUAACACAUGCAAGUCGAGGGACAGCAUGGUCUUAGCUUGCUAAGGCCGAUGGCGACCGGCGCACGGGUGAGUAACGCGUAUCCAACCUGCCUUACACUCUUGGACAGCCUUCUGAAAGGGAGAUUAAUACAAGAUGUUAUCAUGAGUAAGCAUUUUCGCAUGAUUAAAGGUUUACCGGUGUAAGAUGGGGAUGCGUUCCAUUAGAUAGUAGGCGGGGUAACGGCCCACCUAGUCUUCGAUGGAUAGGGGUUCUGAGAGGAAGGUCCCCCACAUUGGAACUGAGACACGGUCCAAACUCCUACGGGAGGCAGCAGUGAGGAAUAUUGGUCAAUGGACGAGAGUCUGAACCAGCCAAGUAGCGUGAAGGAUGAAGGUUCUAUGGAUUGUAAACUUCUUUUAUACGGGAAUAAACGAAUCCACGUGUGGAUUUUUGCAUGUACCGUAUGAAUAAGGAUCGGCUAACUCCGUGCCAGCAGCCGCGGUAAUACGGAGGAUCCGAGCGUUAUCCGGAUUUAUUGGGUUUAAAGGGAGCGUAGAUGGAUGUUUAAGUCAGUUGUGAAAGUUUGCGGCUCAACCGUAAAAUUGCAGUUGAUACUGGAUAUCUUGAGUGCAGUUGAGGCAGGCGGAAUUCGUGGUGUAGCGGUGAAAUGCUUAGAUAUCACGAAGAACUCCGAUUGCGAAGGCAGCCUGCUAAGCUGCAACUGACAUUGAGGCUCGAAAGUGUGGGUAUCAAACAGGAUUAGAUACCCUGGUAGUCCACACGGUAAACGAUGAAUACUCGCUGUUUGCGAUAUACUGCAAGCGGCCAAGCGAAAGCGUUAAGUAUUCCACCUGGGGAGUACGCCGGCAACGGUGAAACUCAAAGGAAUUGACGGGGGCCCGCACAAGCGGAGGAACAUGUGGUUUAAUUCGAUGAUACGCGAGGAACCUUACCCGGGCUUAAAUUGCAGAUGAAUUACGGUGAAAGCCGUAAGCCGCAAGGCAUCUGUGAAGGUGCUGCAUGGUUGUCGUCAGCUCGUGCCGUGAGGUGUCGGCUUAAGUGCCAUAACGAGCGCAACCCUUGUUGUCAGUUACUAACAGGUUCCGCUGAGGACUCUGACAAGACUGCCAUCGUAAGAUGUGAGGAAGGUGGGGAUGACGUCAAAUCAGCACGGCCCUUACGUCCGGGGCUACACACGUGUUACAAUGGGGGGUACAGAGGGCCGCUACCACGCGAGUGGAUGCCAAUCCCAAAAACCUCUCUCAGUUCGGACUGGAGUCUGCAACCCGACUCCACGAAGCUGGAUUCGCUAGUAAUCGCGCAUCAGCCACGGCGCGGUGAAUACGUUCCCGGGCCUUGUACACACCGCCCGUCAAGCCAUGGGAGCCGGGGGUACCUGAAGUGCGUAACCGCGAGGAGCGCCCUAGGGUAAAACUGGUGACUGGGGCUAAG